UUUUUUUUUUUAGAGACAGGGUCUCACUAUGCUGUCCAGGCUCUCAAUUCAGUCUUCCUUCCCCCACCCCUGCCACCACACUAAACAUUAAACCUGGCUUUUCCCAAAGCCAUCUUCAUCAAAUUAGCCUGGCAGCCUGCCUGUCCUUGGUUCUUCCAGUCUCCAGGUGGAGGCGCUCUUACAGCAACACUUGUUGUUUCCAUCAGUCACUGGGGUCACUGUGUGUGAGGGAAGCCAUCAGGAUGAGCAAACGUCCGUGGGAGGCACUAGGGCCCAGAGGUUAAGAGUAUGUGCUCUGCGCAGGGCCAACAGCCCACGCCUGCUCACUGAGUGACUGUGGGGGUGAGGUCCAGAGUGGACACAACAGGCUGUGGCACCUGGGAGCACCACACAUCCCAGGAGUCACUGGGAUGCUUCUAGCAGAAUGGCCAAAUACCCUCUGUUGUUCUUUAACUUCUUGGGCCGGGCGCGGUGGCUCAAGCCUGUAAUCCCAGCACUUUGGGAGGCCGAGACGGGCAGAUCACGAGGUCAGGAGAUCGAGACCAUCCUGGCUAACAUGGUGAAACCCCGUCUCUACUAAAAAAUACAAAAAUACUAGCGGGGCGUGGUGGCGGGCGCCUGUAGUCCCAGCUACUUGGGAGGCUGAGGCAGGAGAAUGGCAUGAACCCGGGCGGCGGAGAUUGCAGUGAGCCGAGAUCGCGCCAUUGCACUCCAGCCUGGGCGACACGGAAAGGCUCUGUCUCAAAAAAAAAAAAAAAAAUUAUUGGGUCGGAGGGAGGGGAAAAGUAGGAGAAUCCUGUGCCAUUUGGGGUUACAGCUGAAUCCAUCUUCCUUCACGUUACUGUUGAAACAUUUCAUCAUAUCUGCAUGACAGUGGGCAAGUUACCUAACCUCAUUGUGCCUUCAUCUCCUCAUCUAGAAAAUGGAAAUAAGAGAACCUACUUCAUAUGGUUGUUUAGGGGCCUCAAUGAGUUAAAAUAUAUAAAUGGCUUUCAAUAAUGACUGGCAUAUUGUUAAAGAGAGAGAGAGCAUGCUCUGUUUUCAGACCUUCUGAGUUCAGGUACUAGCUUCCUCCCUUAUUAGUUCAAUAAACUUGGAGAAGUUAUUUCAUCCCUCUAUAUUUUUACUUUUUCAUCGAUAAAAUGAGGGUAGUAACAGCACCCAGCUCCUUGCUCAGCAAAGAAAUCAAUCAAUAAAAUAUAGGAGUAAUAUAUGGAAUGGCAGAAAAUAUAUGCAAACCAUAUACUAUAGACUGAAUAUUACGUUUCCCCAUAAUUCAUAGGUUGAAAUCCUAACCUCCAAUACGAUGGAAUUAGGAGAUGAGUCCUUUGGAGGUUAGGUCAUGAGGGUGGAGCCCUCAUGAAUGGAUUAGUGUCCUUAUGAAAGAGAACCCAGAGAGCUCCCUCACCACUUCUGCACAUGAGGACACAGCAAGAAGAUGGCCAUCUAUGAACCAGGAAGCAGGCCUUCACCACACAUCAAAUCUGCCCACAUCUUAAUGUUGGACUUCCAGCCUUCAGGACUAUGUGAAAUACAUUUCUUUUUUUUUUUUUCUUUUUCUUUUUUG
rnacentral:lncRNA from 1 species